AAUAUGCAAAUGUAGUGCAUACUUUUCCACAAACCAUUAGUUUAUAUUUUUUUCUUUCACUUCAAUGAUUUGCAGGACUCACCAUUCGCUUCUUGGCAACCAACUGAACUUCUACAAGCUACGUCGAUAGUGACAAGAGUGGGCCUUUUGCCACCUUUGACACUGGAAACACCAUCAACAUUGUCUUCUUUGUCGUCAUCAUCAUCAUCACGAUCUGCUAAUGAGAGUUCUAAGAUUAUACGACCAUCAACAGCUGUCUCGGCUUCUGGGCUAAAGGAGGUAAUAGGGAGCUCAGGAUCUAGCUUCAAGGCAUCGGGUUCCUCAAAAAUUUCAAGCUUAUCUCCGGUAAAUGGACAACCGAGCAGCAAUGCACAGUCCAGCAGGCCCACAUGGAGGUUGC